rnacentral:rRNA from 1 species
AUUAAAUCAGUUAUCGUUUAUUUGAUAGUACCUACUUACUUGGAUAACCGKGGUAAUUCUAGAGCUAAUACAUGCUAAAAACCCCGACUUCGGAAGGGGUGUAUUUAUUARAUAAAAAACCAAUGCCCUCCGGGGCUCCUUGGUGAUUCAUAAUAACUCAACGAAUCGCAUGGCCUUGCGCCGGCRAUGGUUCAUUCAAAUUUCUGCCCUAUCAACUUUCGAUGGUARAUUAGKGGUCUACCAUGGKGGCAACGGGUAACGGGGAAUUAGGGUUCUAUUCCGGARAGGGAGCCUGARAAACGGCUACCACAUCCAAGGAAGGCAGCAGGCGCGCAAAUUACCCAAUCCCGACACGGGGAGGUAGUGACAAUACAUACUGAUGUGGAGCUCUUUUGGGUUUCACAAUUGGAAUGAGUACAAUUUAAAUCCCUUAACGAGGAACAAUUGGAGGGCAAGUCUGGUGCCAGCAGCCGCGGUAAUUCCAGCUCCAAUAGCGUAUAUUAAAGUUGUUGCAGUUAAAAAGCUCGUAGUUGAACCUUGGGCCUGGCCGGCCGGUCCGCCUCACCGCGUGCACUGGUUCGGCCGGGCCUUUCCUUCUGGGGAGCCGCAUGCCCUUCACUGGGUGUGCCGGGGAACCAGGACUUUUACUUUGAAAAAAUUAGAGUGUUCAAAGCAGGCCUAUGCUCGAAUACAUUAGCAUGGAAUAAUAGAAUAGGACGUCGCGGUUCUAUUUUGUUGGUUUCUAGGACCGCCGUAAUGAUAA